UAUAUAUGUGUGUGUGUGUGUGUGUGUGCUUGUGAUCUAGUGAGAAUUACACAUGAACAAAUCCAUGAACUCGACAUGAACAACCACAGUAGUUGAAUGCAUUGUUCAUGUAUUUCAUUGAUUUAUUCAUGUAUUCUCAUUUCUCA